GUACUUUUGAUACUGCGGUUUGCUUUUCUUUGUGAUUUGCAUAUCAUAAUUAUUUUUGCAAGAGACUAAUCAGAUAUGUCAGGACGUGGAAAAGGUGAUUCGUCAUCAGACAAAGGGGGCAAAUCUGGAAAAUCAGACAAAGAUGUCGAUGGACUAUAUGGGCAUCCUGAAACAAACCGGAGUAUUAUUCAAGAAGCAGUAAUGGCUUCUGCGAGUCAAAAUAAGGGCAAAUAAUGACCCUUUGAAAAGAUGGACACAGAUUUGGCAGAUUUUUUUCGAUAUUUAAUAGCGACAUUUCUGUAUCUUUCUUAAAAUGUUCAGACGUUCUUACUGAUAUAAAAAUACAACUAAACGA